ACAUGACAAUCGGGAUUCCAGAUCCAGACGCUUGGUUUACUGUACCAAGCUUCUGUCCUAAAGAGAUGGACACAUUCAAGACACGCGAGGAGCGAUCUGCACCAAACCUGCCAAAUCUAGAUUUCUUCCACCUGCCACAGUUCUACUAAAGAACAGCAGGGGCUCCGUUAAAACACAAUCAUGACAAUAAUCACCCCCAAGUCCGACCAACAAGAACACUCCCUUUUAACCACCGACUUCAUGAUCAAAUGAAUUUUAUUGGAACCGAUUAUGAUUUAUGAUUGGAAGUGAACGUUAUUCCCUUUAGAUAUGCAGUAUCAACAAAAUUGCGCUAUUUUCAGAUUAAAAUAUUUCAAAAUAUUCUGUGGGUAAAUAAAUAUUUGAAAUUGAUAUGUAUAUUAAUUUCUGAUCAGUGUUUUUUGUGGAUUAAAUAGUGUUAAAUCAAUCGCACAUUUGUUCUGAGAUUAGUCUUGUAACCCAUCAAUUUAUUUUUUAUUUUUCAGGACCACACUUUUUAUAUUUGGAUGUUUUUCUUUGGGGGAAGGGCGAGAUUUCUAACACUUGACUUAUGUUACUUUAUACGCAUAAUAUAUUCUCUACAAAAUUUAAACAUGGUAGAAUAUCUUUUGAAUUAUUUAAGAAACAGUUGAAAUAUUAUAAUGACCUUGAGCGAAUAAUCUAUUCAAAACCAAAACAAUUUUAUUUAAUUUCUUGAUAAAUGAAAAGAUGUACAAUUGAAUAGAAACAUGUUAUAACACUUUUGUAUUACCAUGUACUGCUUAUUUUCAUCACAUCAAUUAUUUUGUAGUGUGUACUUUUGUUAAUUCUGAAUAAAUUUUCUUUGAAAAAAAAAAUCAUCAUCAUGA